GUUUGUCUACCCCUAGUCAAAACCAGUUGUAUGGAAGGUAUGAGAUGAAAUAGCUAACCAACUUUGAAUAAUGGAAACUAGACCUUAAAAUUUAAUUUUGAACAAGCGACUAUUCCAAUGAUCCAAUUUAUCAAUAUGCAAUUAGUGGACUUGAGAAAUGUAAAUGCCAUUAAAUUUGAUUUACUUGAACAGCAAUAUAUCUUAAGUUAAUAACUUAAUUCCACUCAACUCAAGGGCCAAAUCUCAAUCCAAAUAUUGUUGGGACAUCAAUGCAAAUCAUUCUCCUUAGCUCUAUUAGGGCCCCACUUCCUACUAGUUCUGUUAUUGCAAAAUCAAAUCAAUAUUUAACACUUAAAUUUUCAUCAAUUUAAGUCCACAUCUUUCCUCCCCUCUCCUAUUGCUUGGAUAUGCUCACA
rnacentral:misc_RNA from 1 species